rnacentral:lncRNA from 1 species
GGGGUAUUCAAGCCAGGGUGGAUGUUAGUGGAUCUCUGUUCUGUUUUGCUUCGUUGAGCUUCAUUUUGCUGUGUAGCUCAGGUCAGCCAGUUCUCAUGCUUCAGCUGAGAUUGCAGUUGUGUGCCACCACCCUCAGAGCUGAUGGCUUCUGAUGUGGGCUGAGCAGUUAUGUGGAGGAAGAAAUGGAGGCAGGAGGCCAGGGAGGACAAGCUGCAGAAAGAUCCCUUCAAACCAAAAAGCCCGAGCACCUGCAGAGUCCUGGUCAUCUUGGGAUGGGCUUUGCAAAGUACACAGACCCGUCAGAAGCCUUCUCUGUUUGACAAGCUGAGGCCUGUCCAAGAAGACACCAUUGUGUACCGUAGACAGUGUGCAAUUGCGAUGGAUGUUACGGACACGGCUGCUGUAGUAGCCACAGGUUCCUGAGCUAUGGGGUCUUCCUCCCUCAUCCCCCACUUCUCCCAGUACCCAGGCUCCUAAUUUGGCCACAAAAGCCAAGUUCAGCUCCAAGCACAGACCUUUGAAGACACAGUUCCUCCUAAAACCUCGGAGAAGCCAAUUAUAGUGGCGGGAGCGGUAAUCACUGUAAU